AGUGAACGCUGGCGGUAGGCCUAACACAUGCAAGUCGAACGGCAGCACAGUAAGAGCUUGCUCUUACGGGUGGCGAGUGGCGGACGGGUGAGGAAUACAUCGGAAUCUACUUUUUCGUGGGGGAUAACGUAGGGAAACUUACGCUAAUACCGCAUACGACCUACGGGUGAAAGCAGGGGAUCUUCGGACCUUGCGCGAUUGAAUGAGCCGAUGUCGGAUUAGCUAGUUGGCGGGGUAAAGGCCCACCAAGGCGACGAUCCGUAGCUGGUCUGAGAGGAUGAUCAGCCACACUGGAACUGAGACACGGUCCAGACUCCUACGGGAGGCAGCAGUGGGGAAUAUUGGACAAUGGGCGCAAGCCUGAUCCAGCCAUACCGCGUGGGCGAAGAAGGCCUUCGGGUUGUAAAGCCCUUUUGUUGGGAAAGAAAAGCAGCAGGUUAAUACCCCGCUGUUCUGACGGUACCCAAAGAAUAAGCACCGGCUAACUUCGCG
rnacentral:rRNA from 1 species